rnacentral:rRNA from 1 species
GACGAACGCUGGCGGCGUGCUUAACACAUGCAAGUCGAACGGAAAGGCCCUGCUUUUGUGGGGUGCUCGAGUGGCGAACGGGUGAGUAACACGUGAGUAACCUGCCCUUGACUUUGGGAUAACUUCAGGAAACUGGGGCUAAUACCGGAUAGGAGCUCCUGCUGCAUGGUGGUGGUUGGAAAGUUUCGGCGGUUGGGGAUGGACUCGCGGCUUAUCAGCUUGUUGGUGGGGUAGUGGCUUACCGAGGCUUUGACGGGUAGCCGGCCUGAGAGGGUGACCGGCCACAUUGGGACUGAGAUACGGCCCAGACUGCUACGGGAGGCAGCAGUGGGGAAUAUUGCACAAUGGGCGGAAGCCUGAUGCAGCAACGCCGCGUGCGGGAUGACGGCCUUCGGGUUGUAAACCGCUUUCGCCUGUGACGAAGCGUGAGUGACGGUAAUGGGUAAAGAAGCACCGGCUAACUACGUG